AAACCAACCGGGAUUGCCUCAGUAACGGCGAGUGAAGCGGCAAGAGCUCAAAUUUGAAAUCUGGCCCCCUCGGGGUCCGAGUUGUAAUUUGCAGAGGAUGCUUCGGGUGCGGUCCCCAUCUAAGUGCCCUGGAACGGGCCGUCAUAGAGGGUGAGAAUCCCGUCUGGGAUGGGCGGCCGCGCCCGUGUGAAGCUCCUUCGACGAGUCGAGUUGUUUGGGAAUGCAGCUCUAAGCGGGUGGUAAAUUUCAUCUAAAGCUAAAUACUGGCCGGAGACCGAUAGCGCACAAGUAGAGUGAUCGAAAGAUGAAAAGCACUUUGAAAAGAGAGUUAAACAGCACGUGAAAUUGUUGAAAGGGAAGCGUUGUCCACCAGACUCGCCCGGGGGGGUUCAGCCGGCACGUGUGCCGGUGUACUCCUCUCCGGGCGGGCCAGCAUCGGUUUGGGCGGCUGGUGAAAGGCCCCGGGAAUGUACCACCCUCCGGGGUGUCUUAUAGCCCGGGGUGCCAUACAGCCAGCCUGGACCGAGGCCCGCGCUUCGGCGAGGAUGCUGGCGUAAUGGUGGUCAACGGC
rnacentral:rRNA from 4 species